rnacentral:misc_RNA from 1 species
CAGGAUCUGCUGCGAGACCCCCAAGGACCAGCUUCUGCAGUCCUGGAAGGGCUCUCCUGACCCCCAAGUCCGCCAUCUUCUGAUGGUGGCAGGUGGGCACAGUCACUGGCUGAGCGACCAAGGGUCAGUGAGAUUACUAGGCCGGCGCUGCACCCAACUGAAAUGAACUCACGUGUCCUCACAACUCCUAGCAGCAGAUGCUGUCAGCCUCGCAUCCUACAGGAAAGGAACCAUCGCCAAAAGACGCUGAGGAACAUCCCGAGGGUCACAGGGACAGUGCAGAGCCAGGACCAGCCCGGCCCAUGGUCCCCCAGCGUGCACCACCUGGCCCGGCACUGUGUGCUCAGCCAUGAGGACUGGGAAGAGUCCUGCCCACAGCUCAAGUGUCUACACCGCACUGCCAUCCAGGCUGUGAGCCGCUGCUGAGCAUGGGGAAUGUGGCUGCUGCAGAGACGUUAUGAAACACUUCUAAAAGAAUGUAAAAGAUCUCAUUAAUAAUUUUGAGUACCUGUUAAAAUGAUAGUAAUUUUGGAUCUAGUAGAUUAAAUAAAACAUAUUAUUAAAAUUAA